UAAAAAUCUACUUCCGGUCCAGCUCAGUAGCCCUAGAGUUCCGGCCCCGGAGCGCAGCUUGUGCCGAGCAGAGGCGGGGCCUGGGGACUGGGCGUUAACAUCCCGCUUUGAACAGCCAGAGGGAUCCUUCUAAACGUACUAGGAUAUCAGAUGAUGUCAUGCCCUGGUCUCCACUUACCAAAAACUUCCCAGCACACAUGGAAUAAAAUCUAGCUCUGCACUCCUCUCCAACCUCACUUGUCUCCUUCAACAUUUUCCUCAUUCAUCAUUCUCCAGUUACACUAAUCUCCUUGCUGUUCCUCAAACCCAGCAAGGAAAGCUUCCACCUUGGUGCUUUGUCUUCUUCACACCAUCUCUAAAAGGAAAAACACGGCCCACACAGAACCAGUCCAAAAUGGAUGAAUCUACACUGAUUUAGAUGGAGCCAGGUCAGAUGGGAGCUAGUUCAAACCAGAG